rnacentral:rRNA from 1 species
ACUCAUCAACCCUGUGAACAUACCUAAAACGUUGCUUCGGCGGGAACAGACGGCCCUGUAACAACGGGCCGCCCCCGCCAGAGGACCCCUAACUCUGUUUUUAUAAUGUUUUUCUGAGUAAACAAGCAAAUAAAUUAAAACUUUCAACAACGGAUCUCUUGGCUCUGGCAUCGAUGAAGAACGCAGCGAAAUGCGAUAAGUAAUGUGAAUUGCAGAAUUCAGUGAAUCAUCGAAUCUUUGAACGCACAUUGCGCCCGCCAGUAUUCUGGCGGGCAUGCCUGUUCGAGCGUCAUUACAACCCUCAGGCCCCCGGGCCUGGCGUUGGGGAUCGGCAGAAGCCCCCUGUGGGCACACGCCGUCCCUCAAAUACAGUGGCGGUCCCGCCGCAGCUUCCAUUGCGUAGUAGCUAACACCUCGCAACUGGAGAGCGGCGCGGCCAUGCCGUAAAACACCCAACUUCUGAAUGUUGACCUCGAAUCAG